rnacentral:rRNA from 2 species
UACGUAGGGGGCGAGCGUUGUCCGGAAUCAUUGGGCGUAAAGCGCGUGUAGGCGGCGCGGUAAGUCCGGUGUGAAACCUUGGGGCUCAACCCCAAGCCUGCACCGGAUACUGCCGCGCUCGAGUCCGGGAGAGGGAAGCGGAAUUCCUAGUGUAGCGGUGAAAUGCGCAGAUAUUAGGAAGAACACCGGUGGCGAAGGCGGCUUCCUGGAACGGUACUGACGCUGAGACGCGAAAGCGUGGGGAGCGAACAGG